GACGAACGCUGGCGGCGUGCUUAACACAUGCAAGUCGAACGGAAAGGCCCUGCUUUUGUGGGGUGCUCGAGUGGCGAACGGGUGAGUAACACGUGAGUAACCUGCCCUUGACUUUGGGAUAACUUCAGGAAACUGGGGCUAAUACCGGAUAGGAGCUCCUGCUGCAUGGUGGGGGUUGGAAAGUUUCGGCGGUUGGGGAUGGACUCGCGGCUUAUCAGCUUGUUGGUGGGGUAGUGGCUUACCAAGGCUUUGACGGGUAGCCGGCCUGAGAGGGUGACCGGCCACAUUGGGACUGCGAUACGGCCCAGACUCCUACGGGAGGCAGCAGUGGGGAAUAUUACACAGUGGUCGGAAGCCUGAUGCAGCAACGCCGCGUUCGGGAUGACGGCCUUCUGGUUGUAAACCGCUUUCGCCUGUGACGAAGCGUGAGUGACGGUAAUGGGUAAAGAAGCACCGGCUAACUACGUG
rnacentral:rRNA from 1 species